rnacentral:miRNA from 1 species
UAUCGACAAGAUCUCUCAGUGG